AAUCAGAAUGAAGAGGGGGCGGGAUCGGCGAAAACCACGUGAUCAUCCACGCGAGCAGUGCAGAGUCGCUGAGAUAAUAUGAACUGCAGAUGCCGGAGACUUCGACAUGAAACGGUGCAGAGCUGGAUGAACACAGCAGGUCAAGCAGCAUCAGAGGAGCAGGAAAGCUGACGUUUCGGGCCUUGAUUCUUCGCUGAGACCAAGAUUUGUGCAAUUGAGAUCAGAGCAGGACACGAUACCAGCGAUCGUUGCCAAAGCCCUGUUACCUGUGGAGAAGUUGAUGUUUGACUUUCGUGUCCUGCUGCAGCUUGUAUGAUGAAGGUACUCCCGCAAUUCGGACAUUUGAGAAGUUACAGAUCAUUUAUCUAGCGAUACUGAAGAGCUGACGGUAGUUGUUCAUGUGUGGAACAAACUUUCAGAGGAGUUGGUGGAUGCAGAUUUCCACAAUUUUACUUCUGCACUGUUCUUAGUCUUUCAGAGGGAUUGAAAGGUUGACUUACAGAUCUGUACAAUGCCUGUCCUUCCUCCCUGGCUGUCCCACCUCUCUUUCCGUAAUUUUGUGCAAACAGACUGGAUCGCUUACCCGGAUGAUAUUUAUUUGUGAAUGAAUUUGUUCUAAUGAUGAUCCAGCAUAUUUCCCAAGUGUCGCUCCACAAAUGUCCCGAGGAUUUCUCAGUUUCACAAUCUGUUAACUUCUGGUUUCUCACUCACUGCACUUACUUUCUGUUUGAAAGCUCAGUCUGCAGUUUGGAGAAUUCAAACUGUUCUACAUCCAGGUCUGACAGUCACUUUGUUUAUCACAACCCAACUAUCUCAGGAUUUUGAACAUUGAAGGAAAAUGCAGCACUCUCACGUUGGAGAAAUGUAAAUGGUUUGUGUGUCAAAGAGUCUGUGAAGAUUCAUCUGAAAUUCCUAACACCAACUCAGUUGUACUGGGGAGAGACUGUGGAAAUGUGCAGAUUACAGGAAGGAAUUUCUUCAUCCAUCCCAGCUAGAAACUGACCACCAGAAUCGCACUGGAGAGAGACCAUUCACCCGCUCUGAUUGUGGAAUGGGAUUCGCUCAGUCAUCUAACCUGUUUAAACACCAGGGAGUUCACACUGGAGAGAAACCAUUUACUUGCUUGGAAUGUGGGAAAGCAUUCACUCAGACACCUCAACUGCUGAUACACCAGCAAAUUCACACUGGAGAGAGACCAUUGGCCUGUUGUGUGUGGGAAAGGUUUUGCUGACUUGAAUUCCCCUCUGACACACCAGCAAGUUCACUCUGGGGAGAGACCAUUCAUGAGCUCUGAGUGUGGGAAAGCAUUCACUCAGUCAUCCAAACAAUCACAAAGAACUACAGUUGAAGCAUUUUGCUAUCACUCUCACGAUCAAAUGAACCAUGGUUUUGGGCUGUUUGUACUGAUGUUACUAAUCCCUGCUCAAUUAAAGGUGCUGCUAUUGUGAAUAAAAAUGUUAAUAACA